CAGCAUUUUCCCACCUCUUGUGUGUGCAGGUAUACCACGCAGUUGGAUCCCAGCUCAUAUGAAAAGAAAUUUCAAUAACAGGCAAAUAUGAAGAAAAAUUCAUCUAAUCCAUACCCAGCCAUUGUAAGAUGCAAUUUCCCCGCUGUUGGGAUUAAAACGUUAUUAUUCUAAUUUGCAUUAAACAUAACUAUACAGAGUUAACAAUAAGCUACAGUAAUUGUUAUAUCAAAUACAAAAGGCAUACAACUGGAAUACACAGGAAAAGGGAUGAUACUACUGAAGAUUAAAAGGAAAGAAAGACAGCUGACAAAAAAAAUGACAAAUGUAACAAUAUGAGAGAACAUAAUGUAGAGAGACAGACAGAAAAAAUGGUAAACACAAUAAUUAUUUUGGACGGGUUCAGGAGGUCCCAAGGACUGGACUAUGUAAAAGAAUAUAACGUGGAAAUGUAGGUCCUGCAACUCCAAUCCACAAGGUGGCGCAAUUGCAUCGAAAAUUUGUUUUUCUACCCUCCAGUAAACAGAAAGAAAGAAACCGUCCAAGCCAAUAUGGCGACGGCAGCAAAGGUAGUGACGGAGAAGGGCGGCGGUUUCAGUUCUUCUUUUCACGGAUCUUCUCGGUCUUUGCCAGCAGACUAUUCGGUGCUGGUUGUGGUGGGGACACUGCGGCCUGUAGGGCUGCUGGAGCAACUGCUGGGGCAGAUAGAUUCAGAUUCUGAAGUAAAGGUCCAGUUUGGCAACACCCGUCAGAACACAAGGAGCUUCUUUAGAAGGAGCUGGGACUUGAGUCAAAGUUCAGCCCAGCACCUAUCUCCGGCCUACCUUCUGUAGAUGAUCAGCAGAUUGUCGUCUUUACAACUGCGGUGUGUCUGUGCCGUGUUCUCAGCCUGAGGACUCACAGCUGCUGUUUCACUUCACAUGAUCAUGGAGAACAACAAUCCUUCAGUUCAGUUUAAGUUUUCACUGCUGCUGGGACUCAUCUCAGCUGAGAGUCCCAGUCUCUAAGUCUGAGAAUGUGGUGAGUGGGUCAUUUUAGGAUGACAGUAUAGUAAAAUAUAGGUGCCUCACAGGAGAACGGUUCCCUUCAGAAGCUGCUGUACCACACCAUGGUGGUCUUCAGUUUUGGGUAGUAAACCUGUAAUUUUUUGCCAUUGAAUCACAGGGUUUUUUCUUCUUUACUUUAAUUACUAAGCAUGCACUCUUAGUUAUUUGAAUUAAAUGCACGCUUUCUUCAGAUCCUUCCAGAAUAAAAGCACCCAUUCAAAUUUCA
rnacentral:lncRNA from 1 species